rnacentral:lncRNA from 1 species
GCCAAGAAAACCCCAGAUGGGGCCACAAACAAUUGGAUACUACAGAAAUGACUGAACUACAAUGACAUGUAACCAUCAAGAAGAAUAUGAACUAAAAACAUUAAAAAAAAGUGUGAACUUAUUUUGCUGAAAAUGAAGCAGGGAUGAUAGUAAAGAUUUAGAAUCCUAGAUUCUAUGACAUAGAGAUGCCAGAUCUUUUUUGAUACUUUCUAUGAUACAUAGAUGCCAGAAGACAGUGGAGAAAAUUUUACAGCCUAAUAUCUUUAUUUUACAGAUGAGGAAACUGAGACCUUGAGAAGGGACUCAUCCAGAUGCUGACUUUCCCAAGAAGACUUGAAUAAGACUAUAUUGAGGUCCAAAUCAUUAGCACCCUAUCUACUGUCUUAGCUGAAUUAAUACUGGAAUGGAAGAGUUGAAGAUGCCCCAGUUCUUGCUACUUCUUGGAGAGCAAAAGCUGGCCUCAUUCCCCUCUCUAUACUGUGGCUUGGAGCGAGCCUCUUCCUCUUCCAAGCCCCGCGUGCAUUAAUCAACCUCAUCCUUCCCGCGACCUGGCAGGGGAACAGCAGCACCUACUUCUUAAUAAACUCAAACUGUCAUUGAAGAUGAAAGAUGGG